rnacentral:rRNA from 1 species
ACGUAGGUGGCAAGCGUUGUCCGGAAUUACUGGGCGUAAAGGGAGCGUAGGCGGGGAAGCAAGUGAAAUGUGAAAACUAUGGGCUUAACCCAUAAACUGCAGUUGAAACUGUUUAUCUUGAGUGGAGUAGAGGCAAGCGGAAUUCCGAGUGUAGCAGUGAAAUGCGUAGAUAUUCGGAGGAACACCAGUGGCGAAGGCGACCUACUGGGCUGUAACUGACGUUGAGAUGCGAAAGUGUGGGGAGCAAACAG